AGGCCAUGGUGCAGCCAAGGAUGACUUGCCGAUCGAUCGAUCGAUCAAUCCAUGGAUGCAGCUAAGCUAGCUGGGUGGUGAUCGAUCUGAUCAUCAUCAUUUGAUCGCUGGAAGCCAUGCAUCGAUCUAUCCAUCCAUUGGCAAGUUGUCCUUAGCUACAUCUUGGCCCCU
rnacentral:pre_miRNA from 1 species